GCUCCAAAAAAGCAAGGAAUAUUCUACAAUUUACGAUACAUGAACAUCACCCGUCUUCCUCCACCAAAUCUCUCGAUUUCUCGUUUCGCUCUUCGCUUUUUCCAUUUCUCGGCAACCAAACAGACCCAAACACAGAGAUCACAAGGGAAACCAGACGAAGAAGGAAUUGCCAUGAAAUUCGGUAAGAGCCUCAGCAACCAGAUCGAGGAGACGUUGCCUGAAUGGCGAGACAACUUUCUCUCUUACAAGGAGCUUAAGAAGAAGCUGAAACUCAUGGAGCCCAACGGCGGGGAGAAUCGGCCGAAUAAACGGCUGAGAUCGGCGGAGUCGAAUCCCGGGGAAGGAGAUCGUUCUGUGGACGCCGCCGGGGACUGGAUGACGAAGGAGGUGACGGAUUUCAUUCGGCUUCUCGAGGACGAGCUUGAGAAAUUCAACUCGUUCUUUGUCGAGAAAGAGGAAGAGUACAUCAUCAGAUUGAAGGAAUUGAAAGAUCAUGUGGUGAAGGCGAAGGACUCGGACGAGGAGUUGAUCAAGAUCAAGAAAGAGAUUGUGGAUUUCCAUGGAGAAAUGGUCCUGUUGUUGAACUAUAGUGCUCUGAACUAUACUGGGCUAGUUAAGAUUCUCAAGAAGUAUGACAAGAGAACCGGGGCUCUGGUCCGGUUGCCCUUCAUCCAGAGGGUUCUUCAACAGCCAUUCUUCACCACCGACCUCCUCAACAAAUUUAUCAAAGAAUGCGAGGCCAUGCUCGAAUACCUCUUCCCUUCCACCGGGAGCUUUUUACCUGAUGAGGCUAGGAACUGGGAUGGAGAAGAGGUAGAAGAAGAAGAAGAGCCAACAACUUCAGGGAUGGUCAAGGCAACAAAUGAUAACCUUAAACGAAUCCCCAAAGAGCUCUCGGAGAUCGAGUACAUGGAGAGCUUGUACAUGAAGGGUGCGGUAUCGGCGUUGAGGGUAUUAAAGGAAAUCCGCAGUGGCAGCUCCACCGUUAGCGUCUUCUCAUUGCCGCCAUUGCAGGCGAGUGGUUUAGAAGAUGAUUCAUGGAAGAAGAAAGUUCCCGUCCUCGAACAAGCAGCCAAAUGAGUGAUAGAGAGUUCUUCUUACGUAGCAAGACGCGGUUUUAUCGUAUGUACCGCUCACAGGUGUUAAAUGAUGUUUUACUGAAUCGUAUAUCAUCACCAAGUGAACUCUCUCUUCAGCUAAAAAAAAAAACAGAUUCAGACUCGUGUGUAUGAGUUUGGGGUUUGAUCUGCAGGCGCCUAAGCCCAACUACGGCCCGAACGUUAGGCGCGCCUGAUGGUCAGGUUCGGUGGGAGACUGUUAAGGGUGGGUGAUGGUCAGUUCGUCUCCGUUUGUAACGGUAGGUAAUCACGGGUUCCAAUGUAUCAAAAAAAAAAAAUAUAGGUUUUGGCAGCGCGAACGGACCGCCCAUAUGGCUUACUCCUUAAUCGAGUAUGGGCGCUAAGCACAAGA